rnacentral:rRNA from 1 species
AAAUUGACGGGGGCCCGCACAAGCAGUGGAGUAUGUGGUUUAAUUCGAAGCAACGCGAAGAACCUUUACCAGGGCUUGACAUCCCUUGAAGCAGCUAGAGAUAGCUGUGUCCUUCGGGACAGGGAGACAGGUGGUGCAUGGUUGUCGUCAGCUCGUGUCGUGAGAUGUUGGGUUAAGUCCCGCAACGAGCGCAACCCUUAUUGCUAGUUACCAUCAUUAAGUUGGGGACUCUAGCGAGACUGCCAGUGAUAAACUGGAGGAAGGUGGGGAUGACGUCAAAUCAUCAUGCCCCUUAUGACCUGGGCUACAAACGUGAUACAAUGGCUGAAACAAAGGGCAGCGAAGGAGCGAUCUGGAGCGAAACCCAAAAAAGCAGUCUCAGUUCGGAUUGAAGUCUGCAACUCGACUUCAUGAAGUCGGAAUCGCUAGUAAUCGCGGAUCAGAACGCCGCGGUGAAUACGUUCCCGGGCCUU